rnacentral:precursor_RNA from 8 species
CCACUUAACAUGUGGCUUCCUCUUUGGCCGAGUGGUUCUCAACAGUUCAACAGUUCUUUUGAUGAUUGUGAAAUGUUCAGGACCACUUGAUCAGACGAAGGACAAUUUCACCUCUGAAA